rnacentral:rRNA from 1 species
GAUGAACGCUGGCGGCGUGCUUAACACAUGCAAGUCGAACGGAAAGGCUCCUGCUUGCAGGGGUACUCGAGUGGCGAAAGGGUGAGUAACACGUGGGUGAUCUGCCCUGCACUUCGGGAUAAGCCUGGGAAACUGGGUCUAAUACCGGAUAGGACGAUGGUUUGGAUGCCAUUGUGGAAAGUUUUUUCGGUGUGGGAUGAGCUCGCGGCCUAUCAGCUUGUUGGUGGGGUAAUGGCCUACCAAGGCGUCGACGGGUAGCCGGCCUGAGAGGGUGUACGGCCACAUUGGGACUGAGAUACGGCCCAGACUCCUACGGGAGGCAGCAGUGGGGAAUAUUGCACAAUGGGCGCAAGCCUGAUGCAGCGACGCCGCGUGGGGGAUGACGGCCUUCGGGUUGUAAACUCCUUCCGCUAGGGACGAAGCGCAAGUGACGGUACCUGGAGAAGAAGCACCGGCUAACUACGUG